GACACCCAUAACUUUUCUUUGAGGGUUUGGCGAAGUUUUAAACAGUUAUAUCUAAUGAUUUGGAAAAGGAACUGACUCAUCAGGAUGUUCUAAGACAAAAAAUGUUUGUAUGAGAGUCAUAGGAAUGUGAAACCCUAUGGGGAUGACUUAUCAUUCUAGGGGUUGUGUAAAAUUUGCUGAAGUGUGUUUUUCUGUGGCAAUGUGGACGUAGCAGUGAGAGGACACCCGUAUCCAGUCAUAGACAUACACAGAAAAGUUUAGCAUUGUUCACAUAAUAUGUCUCUCUGCUCGAAGAAUCGUUCUCUUUUAGUGAGGAAUGCCAAGAAAAAGACAUUUCUGUGCAAUGUUCUGAGGUUGAUUUCCCCAACUGCUUUGAUAUG